rnacentral:rRNA from 1 species
UGCAAGUAGAACGCUGAAGGAGGAGCUUGCUCUCUCUGGAUGAGUUGCGAACGGGUGAGUAACGCGUAGGUAACCUGCCUGGUAGCGGGGGAUAACUAUUGGAAACGAUAGCUAAUACCGCAUAACAGUAGAUGUUGCAUGACAUUUGCUUAAAAGGUGCAAUUGCAUCACUACCAGAUGGACCUGCGUUGUAUUAGCUAGUUGGUGGGGUAACGGCUCACCAAGGCGACGAUACAUAGCCGACCUGAGAGGGUGAUCGGCCACACUGGGACUAAGACACGGCCCAGACUCCUACGGGAGGCAGCAGUAGGGAAUCUUCGGCAAUGGACGGAAGUCUGACCGAGCAACGCCGCGUGAGUGAAGAAGGUUUUCGGAUCGUAAAGCUCUGUUGUAAGAGAAGAACGAGUGUGAGAGUGGAAAGUUCACACUGUGACGGUAUCUUACCAGAAAGGGACGGCUAACUACGUGCCAGCAGCCGCGGUAAUACGUAGGUCCCGAGCGUUGUCCGGAUUUAUUGGGCGUAAAGCGAGCGCAGGCGGUUAGAUAAGUCUGAAGUUAAAGGCUGUGGCUUAACCAUAGUACGCUUUGGAAACUGUUUAACUUGAGUGCAAGAGGGGAGAGUGGAAUUCCAUGUGUAGCGGUGAAAUGCGUAGAUAUAUGGAGGAACACCGGUGGCGAAAGCGGCUCUCUGGCUUGUAACUGACGCUGAGGCUCGAAAGCGUGGGGAGCAAACAGGAUUAGAUACCCUGGUAGUCCACGCCGUAAACGAUGAGUGCUAGGUGUUAGACCCUUUCCGGGGUUUAGUGCCGUAGCUAACGCAUUAAGCACUCCGCCUGGGGAGUACGACCGCAAGGUUGAAACUCAAAGGAAUUGACGGGGGCCCGCACAAGCGG